UACGUAGGCAGCGAGCGUUUGUUCGGAGUUACUGGGCGUAAAGAGUGCGUAGGCGGUUUUCUAAGUUUGGUGUGAAAUCUCCCGCUUAACUGGGAGGGUGCGCCGAAGACUGGAAGGCUAGAGUAUGGGAGAGGUAAGCGGAAUUCCUGGUGUAGCGGUGAAAUGCGUAGAUAUCAGGAGGAACACCUGCGGUGUAGACGGCUUACUGGACCAUAACUGACGCUGAGGCACGAAAGCGUGGGUAGCAAACAGG
rnacentral:rRNA from 1 species